rnacentral:rRNA from 1 species
AGAGUUUGAUCAUGGCUCAGGGUGAACGCUGGCGGCGUGGAUGAGGCAUGCAAGUCGAAUGGGUUUAGACCCAUGGCAGACGAGGUAGGAACACGUAGGUACGUACCCCAAAGUCAGGGAUAACCCGGCGAAAGUCGGAGUAAUACCUGAUGGUCUCGUAAGAGUAAAGAUUUAUCGCUUUGGGAACGGCCUGCGGUCUAUCAGCUUGUUGGUAAGGUAACGGCUUACCAAGGCUACGACGGAUAGGGGAGCUGAGAGGCUGACCCCCACCGAUGGAACUGCGACACGGUCCAUACUCCUUCGGGAGGCCGCAGUCGAGAAUCUUCCGCAAUGGACGAAAGUCUGACGGAGCGACGCCGCGUGGUUGAUGAAGUCCUUAGGGACGUAAAAACCUUUUAUGAAGGAGAAAGUUUAUUGAUGUUACUUCAUGAAUAAGGGGCUCCCAAUUCUGUGCCAGCAGGAGCGGUAAUACAGAAGCCCCAAGCGUUACCCGGAAUCACUGGGCGUAAAGGGUGCGUAGGCGGCUAUAUUAGUCGGGUGUUAAAUCCCGGGGCUCAACCUCGGAAUCGCAUUCGAAACGGUAUAGCUAGGAGAAGUGAGAGGUGUGUGGAACUCACGGUGUAGGGGUGAAAUCCGUUGAUAUCGUGGGGAACACCAAAUGCGAAGGCAACACACUGGCACUCUCUCGACGCUGAGGCACGAAAGCGUGGGUAGCGAAUGGGAUUAGAUACCCCAGUAGUCCACGCCCUAAACGUUGUCAACUGGCUUUUUCGAGUAUCGACCCUCGAAGAGGCGAAGCUAACGCGUUAAGUUGACCGCCUGGGUAGUACGACCGCAAGGUUAAAACUCAAAGGAAUUGACGG